rnacentral:rRNA from 1 species
UACGGGGGGGGUAAGCGUUAUUCAGAAUUACUGGGCGUAAAGGGCUCGUAGGCGGCCAACUAAGUCAUACGUGAAAUCCCUCAGCUUAACUGGGGAACUGCGUCUGAUACUGAUUGGCUCGAGUGCAGGAGAGGAAUGCGGAAUUCCAGGUGUAGCGGUGAAAUGCGUAGAUAUCUGGAGGAACACCGGUGGCGAAGGCGGCAUUCUGGACUGCAACUGACACUGAAGAACGAAAGCCAGGGGAGCAAACGGG